rnacentral:RNase_P_RNA from 1 species
UGGGAAUAUCGGAUGAUUGCGUCCCACGGCGGAACUUGAUUCUGCCAAUACGGACGAGGAAAGUCCGAACACCCUUUGAAUCGCAAGAUUCAUUGACAAGAAAGUUGCUAACGGCAACCAGGCGAAUCUGGACUCGCAGAACUGGUCAUACUCGUUCUUUGAUUCCUGAUGAAGCCUAGGGAAAGUGCCACAGAGACAAUACUAACUCCCUCGGGAGUGAAAAGUGAAAAGUGAAGUGAUGUCGCAAGGCUACACUUCUCGCUCCAUGGUGACAUGGCAGCGUGGUAAACCCUUCCCGCCGCAUAGGCCUUCGGCCAAUGCAGGCGGGCCCGCCUAAUCCUGAGCGUAAAGCGAUGGAUGGCGUGGUCUGGUGCAAGAGCAAAUUUGGUAGCUCGCUCGAACCAGCUGGCAACAGUUGGUCUAGAUAGAUAAUCAUCUCCUCGGCGCUUAAAAAAAUGCCGAGCAGACAAAAUUCGGCUUACAGAUAUUUCCCGGUA